rnacentral:rRNA from 1 species
UGAAGCCAAGCUUGCUUGGUGGAUCAGUGGCGAACGGGUGAGUAACACGUGAGCAACCUGCCCUGGACUCUGGGAUAAGCGCUGGAAACGGUGUCUAAUACUGGAUAUGAGCCUCUAUCGCAUGGUGGGGGUUGGAAAGAUUUUUCGGUCUGGGAUGGGCUCGCGGCCUAUCAGCUUGUUGGUGAGGUAAUGGCUCACCAAGGCGUCGACGGGUAGCCGGCCUGAGAGGGUGACCGGCCACACUGGGACUGAGACACGGCCCAGACUCCUACGGGAGGCAGCAGUGGGGAAUAUUGCACAAUGGGCGGAAGCCUGAUGCAGCAACGCCGCGUGAGGGAUGACGGCCUUCGGGUUGUAAACCUCUUUUAGCAGGGAAGAAGCGAAAGUGACGGUACCUGCAGAAAAAGCGCCGGCUAACUACGUGCCAGCAGCCGCGGUAAUACGUAGGGCGCAAGCGUUAUCCGGAAUUAUUGGGCGUAAAGAGCUCGUAGGCGGUUUGUCGCGUCUGCUGUGAAAUCCCGAGGCUCAACCUCGGGUCUGCAGUGGGUACGGGCAGACUAGAGUGCGGUAGGGGAGAUUGGAAUUCCUGGUGUAGCGGUGGAAUGCGCAGAUAUCAGGAGGAACACCGAUGGCGAAGGCAGAUCUCUGGGCCGUAACUGACGCUGAGGAGCGAAAGGGUGGGGAGCAAACAGGCUUAGAUACCCUGGUAGUCCACCCCGUAAACGUUGGGAACUAGUUGUGGGGACCAU